rnacentral:rRNA from 1 species
AAACAUCGCCUCCCGCAAAAAUCAAUGUAUGGGAGGUCCUACCUGCCCAGUGACACUAAGUUAAACGGCCGCGGUAUCCUGACCGUGCUAAGGUAGCGCAAUCACUUGUCUUUUAAAUGAGGACCUGUAUGAAUGGUGGAACGAGGGCUUAACUGUCUCCCUUCUCUAGCCAGUGAAAUUGAUCUACCCGUGCAGAAGCGGGUAUUCUAAUACAAGACGAGAAGACCCUUUGGAGCUUAAGACAUAAAAUCAACUAAGUCAAGACAUUUUAUAACAAAGACAAAACAAAAUUAGUAAAUUGAUUAUAGUCUUCGGUUGGGGCGACCGAGGGGGAAAACAUAGCCCCCACGAAGAUUGGAAAACUCUAAAACUAAGAGAGACAUCUCUAAGCCACAGAACAUCUGACUAAAAGAUCCGGUAUAUUACCGAUCAACGAAACAAGUUACCCUAGGGAUAACAGCGCAAUCCUCUCCAAGAGUCCAUAUCGACAAGAGGGUUUACGACCUCGAUGUUGGAUCAGGACAUCCUAAUGGUGCAGCCGCUAUUAAGGGUUCGUUUGUUCAACGAUUAAAGUCCUACGUGAUCUGAGUCAGAACCGGA